AACAUCUUCUUACCAAAAAGUGCAAAGGUAAGGAGAUACGUUCUGCGCAUGCGCUGCGCUAUCUCCUUAAAUACGCAUAAUUUGUUAAAAGGAUAUUAAGCAAAGUUGUAGCCCUCAUAAAGACGAACAACUUUUAUUAACAUCUUCUUACCAAAAGGUGCAAAGGUAAGGAGAUACGUUCUGCGCAUGCGCUGCGCUAUCUCCUUAAAUACGCAUAAUUUGUUAAAAGGAUAUU